AUGACUGCUGCACCCCCAGCGUUCGCAUCCCGCUGCCGCUUCCCGAUGGCCUCCACCGGCCCCCUCGCAGGAGUAUCUCAUGAUGCAGGGGUCACGGUGUCCACAUCGGAGAGUGUUGGUCAGAAUGACUUGCUGAUUGUCGGGCCUGGUGUGCUUGGUCGAAUCGUAGCUGAGAAAUGGCGACAGGAGCAUCCAGAUUGCAAAAUUUAUGGCCAGACUGCAACCACAGAUCAUCACAGUGAACUAACUAAAAUUGGGAUAAUUCCCUCCCUGAAGGGACCCAGAGUUGAUCAGAAAGUUCCAUACGUUAUUUUUUGUGCUCCUCCAUAUCGCACGGAUGAUUACCCUGGGGAUCUUAGAGUUGCUGCAUCAAACUGGAGUGGGGAAGGUUCUUUCCUGUUUACAUCAAGUACUGCCGUGUAUGACUGCAAUGACAAUGGAUUUUGUGGCGAGGAUUCUCCUUGUGUGCCGAUUGGUAGGAGUCCUCGGACUGACGUCCUUCUAAAAGCAGAAAAUGUCGUCCUCGAGGCAGGAGGCUGUGCCCUGAGGCUAGCAGGGCUUUAUAAAAAGGAUCAAGGUCCUCAUGUUUUCUGGUUGUCAAAAGGAACUGUAGAUGCACGACCAGAUCUCAUAAUCAGUAUGAUCCAUUAUGAAGAUGCUGCUUCGCUUGGAAUUGCCAUCAUGAAGAGGAAACUUCGCGGGCGUGUCUUUGUGGGCUGUGACAACCAACCUCUGUCCAGGCAAGAAAUCAUGGACCGUGUUAACAGGAGCGAGAAAUUUGACGGCAAGUUUGAGGGCUUCACAGGUACAGACGGUCCAUUGGGGAAGAGGAUGGAUAAUUCCAAAACUCGGGCUGAGAUCGGUUGGGAGCCCAAAUAUCCUAGUUUCACAGAAUUCCUUGGUCUCAGCAAUUGA
rnacentral:rRNA from 1 species